rnacentral:rRNA from 1 species
AUUGAACGCUGGCGGCAUGCUUUACACAUGCAAGUCGAACGGUAACAGGUCUUCGGAUGCUGACGAGUGGCGAACGGGUGAGUAAUGCAUCGGAACGUGCCCAGUCGUGGGGGAUAACGCAGCGAAAGCUGUGCUAAUACCGCAUACGAUCUAUGGAUGAAAGCGGGGGAUCGCAAGACCUCGCGCGAUUGGAGCGGCCGAUGUCAGAUUAGCUAGUUGGUGGGGUAAAGGCCCACCAAGGCGACGAUCUGUAGCUGGUCUGAGAGGACGACCAGCCACACUGGGACUGAGACACGGCCCAGACUCCUACGGGAGGCAGCAGUGGGGAAUUUUGGACAAUGGGCGCAAGCCUGAUCCAGCAAUGCCGCGUGCAGGAAGAAGGCCUUCGGGUUGUAACUAGCUUUGUUACGGAACGAAACGGUUACGACUUAAUUACAAGUGGGCGUAAUGACGGUACCGUAAGAAUAAGACACCGGCUAACUACGUAGCCAG